rnacentral:rRNA from 1 species
AGAACGAACGCUGGCGGCAGGCCUAACACAUGCAAGUCGAACGCUCUCGCAAGAGAGAGUGGCGCACGGGUGCGUAACGCGUGGGAAUGUACCUCUAGGUACGGAACAACCCAGGGAAACUUGGGCUAAUACCGUAUAAUAUCUUCGGAUCAAAGAUUUAUCGCCUAGAGAUCAGCCCGCGUAGGAUUAGCUAGUUGGUGAGGUAAUGGCUCACCAAGGCAACGAUCCUUAGCUGGUCUGAGAGGAUGAUCAGCCACACUGGAACUGAGACACGGUCCAGACUCCUACGGGAGGCAGCAGUGAGGAAUAUUGGACAAUGGGGGCAACCCUGAUCCAGCCAUGCCGCGUGAGUGAUGAAGGCCUUCGGGUUGUAAAACUCUUUAGAUGUGACGAUGAUGACGGUAACAUCAGAAAAGCUCCGGCUAACUUCGUGCCAGCAGCCGC